rnacentral:rRNA from 1 species
CCUACGGGCGGCAGCAGUGAGGAAUAGUGGUCAAUGGGCGCAAGCCUGACCCAGCAAUGCCGCGUGAAGGAAGAAGGCUUUCGGGUUGUAAACUUCUGUGACAGGGGAAGAGCAGAAGACGGUACCCGGAAAACAAGCCACGGCUAACGACGUGCCAGCAGCCGCGGUAAUACGUAGGUGGCAAGCGGUGUCCGGAUUUACUGGGUGUAAAGGGCGUGUCGCCGGGAAGGAAAGUCAGAUGUGAAAUCCGGAGGCUCAACCUCCGAAUUGCAUUUGAAACUGUUUUUCUUGAGUACUGGAGAGGCAGCCGGCAUUCCUUGUGUAGCGGUGACAUGCGUAGAUAUCAGGAGGAACACCAGUGGCGACGGCGGUCUGCUGGACAGCACCUGACGGUGAGGCGCGAACGCGUGGGGAGCAAACAGGAUUAGAUACCCUGGUAGUC